rnacentral:tRNA from 1 species
GGCCCCAUCGUCUAACGGUUAGGACACUUGCUUUUCAAGCAAGUAACCGGGGUUCGACUCCCCGUGGGGUCACAA